GACGAACGCUGGCGGCGUGCCUAAUACAUGCAAGUAGAACGCUGAAGAGAGGAGCUUGCUCUUCUUGGAUGAGUUGCGAACGGGUGAGUAACGCGUAGGUAACCUGCCUUGUAGCGGGGGAUAACUAUUGGAAACGAUAGCUAAUACCGCAUAACAAUGGAUGACACAUGUCAUUUAUUUGAAAGGGGCAAUUGCUCCACUACAAGAUGGACCUGCGUUGUAUUAGCUAGUAGGUGAGGUAAUGGCUCACCUAGGCGACGAUACAUAGCCGACCUGAGAGGGUGAUCGGCCACACUGGGACUGAGACACGGCCCAGACUCCUACGGGAGGCAGCAGGAGGGAAUCUUCGGCAAUGGGGGCAACCCUGACCGAGCAACGCCGCGUGAGUGAAGAAGGGUGUCGGAUCGUAAAGCUCUGUUGUAAGUCAAGAACGGGUGUGAGAGUGGAAAGUUCACACUGUGACGGUAGCUUACCAGAAAGGGACGGCUAACUACGUG
rnacentral:rRNA from 1 species